rnacentral:rRNA from 1 species
GAUGAACGCUGGCGGCGUGCCUAACACAUGCAAGUCGAACGGAACUUCUUCGACAGAAUUCUUCGGAAGGAAGUUGAUUAAGUUUAGUGGCGGACGGGUGAGUAACGCGUGAGUAACCUGCCUUUGAGAGGGGAAUAACUUCCCGAAAGGGAUGCUAAUACCGCAUGACGCAUAUUUAUCGCAUGGUAGAUAUGCCAAAGAUUUAUCGCUCAAAGAUGGACUCGCGUCCGAUUAGCCAGUUGGCGGGGUAACGGCCCACCAAAGCGACGAUCGGUAGCCGGACUGAGAGGUUGAACGGCCACAUUGGGACUGAGACACGGCCCAGACUCCUACGGGAGGCAGCAGUGGGGGAUAUUGCGCAAUGGGGGAAACCCUGACGCAGCAACGCCGCGUGAAGGAUGAAGGUUUUCGGAUUGUAAACUUCUUUUAUUUAGGACGAACAAUGACGGUACUAAAUGAAUAAGCUCCGGCUAAC